GAAUCCCGUCUUUGGCACGGAUGUACCAGGGCCUUCGUGAUGCGCUCUCGAAGAGUCGAGUUGUUUGGGAAUGCAGCUCAAAAUGGGUGGUGAACUCCAUCUAAAGCUAAAUAUUGGCGAGAGACCGAUAGCGAACAAGUACCGUGAGGGAAAGAUGAAAAGCACUUUGGAAAGAGAGUGAAACAGUACGUGAAAUUGUUGAAAGGGAAACGCUUGAAGUCAGUCGCGUCGACCGAGACUCAGCCUUGCCUCGGCUCGGUGUACUUCUCGGCCGACGGGUCAGCAUCAAUUUUGCCCCUCGGAUAAUGGCGAGAGAAAGGUGGCACCCUCACGGGUGUGUUAUAGUCUCCCGUCGGAUGCGAGGGUUGGGAUUGAGGAACUCGGCACGUACCGUGCUUAGGAUGUUGGCAUAAUGGCUUUAAACGACCCGUCUUGAAACACGGACCAAGGAGUCUAACAUGCCCGCGAGUGUUCGGGUGGAAAACCCGUGCGCGUAAUGAAAGUAAAAGUUGGGACCCCUGUCGUGGGGGGCACCGACGCCCGGACCAGACCUUCUGUGACGGAUCUGCGGUAGAGCGUGCAUGUUGGGACCCGAAAGAUGGUGAACUAUGCCUGAAUAGGGUGAAGCCAGAGGAAACUCUGGUGGAGGCUCGUAGCGAUUCUGACGUGCAAAUCGAUCGUCAAAUUUGGGUAUAGGGGCGAAAGACUAAUCGAACCAUCUAGUAGCUGGUUCCUGCC
rnacentral:rRNA from 1 species